rnacentral:rRNA from 1 species
UGCAUUAGCUAGUUGGUAAGGUAACGGCUUACCAAGGCAAUGAUGCAUAGCCGAGUUGAGAGACUGAUCGGCCACAUUGGGACUGAGACACGGCCCAAACUCCUACGGGAGGCAGCAGUAGGGAAUCUUCCACAAUGGACGCAAGUCUGAUGGAGCAACGCCGCGUGAGUGAAGAAGGGUUUCGGCUCGUAAAGCUCUGUUGGUAGUGAAGAAAGAUAGAGGUAGUAACUGGCCUUUAUUUGACGGUAAUUACCUAGAAAGUCACGGCUAACUACGUGCCAGCAGCCGCGGUAAUACGUAGGUGGCAAGCGUUGUCCGGAUUUAUUGGGCGUAAAGCGAGUGCAGGCGGUUCAAUAAGUCUGAUGUGAAAGCCUUCGGCUCAACCGGAGAAUUGCAUCAGAAACUGUUGAACUUGAGUGCAGAAGAGGAGAGUGGAACUCCAUGUGUAGCGGUGGAAUGCGUAGAUAUAUGGAAGAACACCAGUGGCGAAGGCGGCUCUCUGGUCUGCAACUGACGCUGAGGCUCGAAAGCAUGGGUAGCGAACAGGAUUAGAUACCCUGGUAGUCCAUGCCGU